rnacentral:rRNA from 1 species
AACGAACGCUGGCGGCAGGCCUAACACAUGCAAGUCGAGCGAUGACUUCGGUCCUAGCGGCGGACGGGUGAGUAACGCGUGGGAACGUGCCCUUUGCUUCGGAAUAGCCCUGUGAAACUGGGAGUAAUACCUUAUGAGCCCUUUGGUGGCAAGAUUUAUCGGCGAAGGAUCGGCCCGCGUUGGAUUAGGUCGUUGGUGGGGUAAUGGCCUACCAAGCCGACGAUCCAUAGCUGGUUUGAGAGGAUGAUAAGCCACACUGGGACUGAGAAACGGCCCAGACUCGGACGGGAGGAAGAAGUGGGGAAUAUGAGACAAUGGGGGAAACACGGAUAUAGCCAUGCCGCGUGAGCGAUGAAGGCCUUAGGGUUGUAAAGAUCUUUCAGCUGGGAAGAGAAUGACGGUACCAGCAGAAGAAGACCCGGCUAACUACGUG